ACAACAAGAAUAUGAAGGUUGGAAGUGUUCAAGUAGCUGCUUCUCAAAGAGUAUUUUUAUAGAAUACGGAUUGAAUCAAAAUGAAGAAGCAAGAACAGAGUUGAGAGCAGUAGAUGCGUGGAUACUGACUGACAAGCCUUACUCUAAUCAAUCCAUUCAUUCGGAAUUAUUGAAUUUGGAGAAAG